GGCCGCGGGAAUUCGAUUUCUGGUUGAUCCUGCCAGACCCGACUGCUAUCAGAGUGGGACUAAGCCAUGCGAGUCGACGUAGCAAUACGUGGCGAACGGCUCAGUAACACGUAGUCAACAUGCCCAGGGGACGUGGAUAAUCUCGGGAAACUGAGAAUAAACCACGAUAGGUCACGAUUUCUGGAAUGGAUCAUGGCUUAAAUCUACAUGGCCCCUGGAUUGGACUGCGGCCGAUCAGGCUGUUGGUGAGGUAAUGGCCCACCAAACCUAUAACCGGUACGGGCUCUGAGAGGAGGAGCCCGGAGAUGGGCACUGAGACAAGGGCCCAGGCCCUAUGGGGCGCAGCAGGCGCGAAACCUCUGCAAUAGGCGAAAGCCUGACAGGGUUACUCUGAGUGAUUUCCGCUAAGGGGAUCUUUUGGCACCUCUAAAAAUGGUGCAGAAUAAGGGGUGGGCAAGUCUGGUGUCAGCCGCCGCGGUAAUACCAGCCCCCCGAGUGGUCGGGACGAUUAUUGGGCCUAAAGCAUCCGUAGCCGGUUCUGCAAGUCUUCCGUUAAAUCCAGCCGCUCAACGGAUGGGCCGCGGAGGAUACUAUAGGACUAGGAGGCGGGAGAGGCAAGCGGUACACAGUGGGUAGGGGUAAAAUCCUUUGAUCCAUUGAAGACCACCACUGGCGAAGGCGGCUUGCCAGAACGCGCUCGACGGUGAGGGAUGAAAGCUGGGGGAGCAAACCGGAUUAGAUACCCGGGUAGUCCCAGCUGUAAACGAUGCAGACUCGGUGAUGGGCUAGCCUUGUGCCAGCCCAGUGCCGCAGGGAAGCCGUUAAGUCUGCCGCCUGGGGAGUACGGUCGCAAGACUGAAACUUAAAGGAAUUGGCGGGGGAGCACCACAAGGGGUGAAGCCUGCGGUUCAAUUGGAUUCAACGCCGGAAAUCACUAGUGAAUUC
rnacentral:rRNA from 1 species